AAGGUCUGAUUUUUACUUUCCAACUUGUCCGGUGUGUUCCCUCCCGGGUGUUCUUCACUACAGUCAGCUCCUCAGAGCAUUUGGGCGGAAUAUUGAUCCCCAGGCCUCCUGCAUGUCAGGCAAAUGCUUCACAACUGAGCUAUACACCCAGUUGUAAUACUUUUAUUUCUUAUUUGCAUUUGUCAUUAUACAUCUUGCUCCAACUGAGGAAACUGAAGAACCAAUCUAUAUCCAUGGCUCCUGGAGGAUUCUGUGGAUGUGGCAUUGCAACUGUGAAGAUGACCUUGAGACUGGAACUCAACUGCACCAUGAGUAUGCAGAUUGUGGACAAUUAUUUCUUCAGUGUUCCUUCAUCAGAAAUUUAAGCAUAUCUUGAGGAUAGGUAUACUUCACUAGAGGGAAAUACAAGUUUUGAAAGCA